rnacentral:rRNA from 1 species
GACGAACGCUGGCGGCGUGCCUAAUACAUGCAAGUAGAACGCACAGUUUAUACCGUAGCUUGCUACACCAUAGACUGUGAGUUGCGAACGGGUGAGUAACGCGUAGGUAACCUGCCUGGUAGCGGGGGAUAACUAUUGGAAACGAUAGCUAAUACCGCAUAAUAUUAAUUAUUGCAUGAUAAUUAAUUGAAAGGUGCAUUUGCACCACUACCAGAUGGACCUGCGUUGUAUUAGCUAGUAGGUGAGGUAACGGCUCACCUAGGCGACGAUACAUAGCCGACCUGAGAGGGUGAUCGGCCACACUGGGACUGAGACACGGCCCAGACUCCUACGGGAGGCAGCAGUAGGGAAUCUUCGGCAAGGGACGAAAGUCUGACCGAGCAACGCCGCGUGAGUGAAGAAGGUUUUCGGAUCGUAAAGCUCUGUUGUAAGAGAAGAACGGGUGUGAGAGUGGAAAGUUCACACUGUGACGGUAUCUUACCAGAAAGGGACGGCUAACUACGUG